GACACAACUCAUAGUGACAUCGGAUCCUUGCGAAUCAGUACGCAUAAUCGCUCUGGAGUGUUCAUCGUCGAAUUUUUUGACUAAAACGUCUGGCGAGCUAAGUACACUUAUUUGUCGCGUGUGUUUGCAGAAAUUGUGGACGGUUAAGGAAACUAUCUCCGGUUUCAGGUUUAUCCGGCGAGAAAAAAUUACCAUGCUGCGUAUUUCUCUAUUUUUGCUCACGGCUGUCAUGAUCAUUUCUCAGACGUUUUCCCAUGACGAGUGCAUACCGAAGGGGUACAGGUGCUAUCCAGAGGGAAUCCCCUGUUGUCGCAAACUUGCUUGCGAAGUUCAUAUUUUCUCGUUGAGUGGUCGUGGAUAUUGCGUUGAUGAUUGAUAUCGUGGAGCUUACUGGAGGAUUACAUGAGUAACAACUAGAGUAAAUAUAUUUUCAGAAAAUUCAAUAAAAUCUUACAAAACCUAACCGAUUGAAACAACGAA